rnacentral:lncRNA from 1 species
GUUGUAACCAUUGAUAGUUGCCCAUUGCCCAGUCUAUCUUGCUAUAUACUCUAGAAUCAGCAUCUUGUUUAUUUGUCCAAGUAAAGUGCCAGCCAGUUUCCCUUAAGACAGUCAGUUGUAGUUCAUCCAUAGUCUCUUUGAAAUCCUUUACUUCAGCUUCAGUCACUGGAGAACCAAUCAUGUCCUCAGAACUUAAAACACAGUUAAAAUCUCCACUUAUAAGCCAUACAUCUUGUUGUGGUAUAGGAAUUGACUUGAGGUCCCUCCAUAGUUGUGCCCUAAGC